rnacentral:lncRNA from 1 species
GGAAGAAUGAACAUCAUUAAAAGGUUGGCCAGUGUCAGUGUCUUUUAAAAACUCUCAGACAUAGACUGUGGCAAGACUGAUAACCUCUUCUCUCUCUCUGUCUCUCUCUCUUUUUGGUUUUUUUUUUGGAGAUGGACUCUCACUCUGUCAUCAGACUGGAGUGCAGUGGCAUGAUCUCGGCUCACUGCAACCUCAGACUCCCUGGUUGAAGUGAUUCUCCUGCCUCAGCUUCCUGAGUAGCUGGGAUUAUAGGCAUGUGCCACCACACCCAGUUAAUUUUUGUAUUUUUUUUUCUUUUUAGUAGAGAUGCAGUUUCACCAUGUUGGCAAGGAUAGUCUGGAUCUCCUGACCUCAUGAUGUGCCCACCUCCGUCUCCCAAAGUGCUGGGAUUACAGGCAUGUGCCACUGCGCCUGGCUCCUCUUCUCUCUUGACCCAGAAUUGGGUCUGGAUGAUCUUGCAAGUCCUUGGUGAUUUUCUCAAAUGAAGGCAUCAGAUUCUAGGUCUGUCAAAGAAAGUGAAGACCUAAACAUCAGAUGUCACUGUGGACAGAAAGAGACACAGACCCCUGAGUUGAGGUCUUCAAAUGACAAGUUAAUAGGCAUUCAGAAGUUGCUAAGUGGUAUAUAAGCAGUGAUUCUGUAAAUCUCUGAAGUACAGUAUUGGCUUGGUGACAUGAUGCCUUUAUUCCCUCAUUGAAUAGUUCCACAGCGAUAAGUGUUCUCUCCUUUGUGAUUUCAUAGUACCUUCAUUAAAUUCCCUUAUAGCAAGAAUAAUUGUGAUAAUGACUGUUUUUUAUUGAGUCCCUACUAUGUAACAGAUAUCACACUGAGGCUAUUAUAUUCUAUUACACUAAUCAUGGAAAAUUGGUAUUUUAUUCUCCAUUUUUCAGAUAAAGAACUGAGCUCAAACAAUGAAGCUGCUCAAGUUCACGUAAAGUUUUUUUUUUUUUUUUUGGUCUCUUUUUGAAAUUCUCUAUCAACAGGAGUCUCACUGGGUUCUCCGUUCAAGCCCAGCAGCACAAUAAAGAGGAUAAGAGCACUCAGUGGAUGCUCAGUAAAUGUUUUUUUGAAUGAAUAAAUGAAUGAAGGCAAGAACUGGUACUAUGAAAGAAUCAUCAUCAUCAUCAUCAUCAUCAUCAUCAUCAUCUUAUAUUAAGCACUUGCCACCUCACAAAGAUCUUUUAAAGAAAAAUCUAUUCUGGGAUUGAAGGGGUGAUUGAUUUUUCUCUAAUGCAGAGAUUCUCAACUGUACAAAUUCUCUUGGUCCUUUGCAAGUGAUUUAGAGAACAAAAGUUAGUCCUUUAUGCUUCUCUUCCGCAGCCUUCUGGUUCUAAUCUAAGGGUAGAAGUGGCAACAAGGAAGGCUGAUUGUUUAUUGAUGUUUGAUCUUCAAUUCUGACCUAAGUUUACUCUCCUUUUUAUGCCGAUAAGGGUCACCUUUUGGUAAUUUGGAAGACCCAACUUUGGCUCUGAUAGAAGGGAGAGUUGUAGAAUUGCAUUGUUCUCUAACACUUGCACCAUAUGUUAUGUGAAAAUGCUUUUAUCAUUGGUAUUUCACAUCUGCAUCUUUUUUGCCUUGAAUAAAUAUAUCAUACAUUUUUGCCUUGAAUAUAUGCAAAGUUAUGCAAGUAUAAUUAACUCUCCUAAAUGAGUGCCUGGGAUCACACAGACUGCCCUUUGCAGUUUUCCAUUGAGUAUCCCUGGUCACCUGAUAGAAGAGCUCUGUAAGGGCCAAUGUGGCU